GGGGAAUUUUUUUUUUAUAUUUGCUUGCUACUAGCAUGUAGGGGUGUACCAUUCGGAUGAAAGAACGGUUCAUCUUCGUUCGCAUGAAUUUAUUGCUUUUGAACCAGUUUCGUGAUCUCGUGUAUGUGGAUUCUGCUGGCUGCGUUGUGUCAAGUUAGCUGGAGAGAAAAAAAGCCGCAUAGAGCCUUGGUCAUCCUCUCGCCGUCACGGUCGUGGAAGGCUGGAAGUCCCUCCUCCGACGCUGUCGGUCUGUCGUCAAACUCACCGACGUCGCGGCUGCGGCGGCGGGGACGCCAUCGGAGGCUUCUCCACACUCCGUCCUCCUUUACCCUCCCGUCGAUUCCAAAUCCCACCCGCGUGCAACCAAGCCCUAGCUCCCCCUCCCACGCGGCUUCCCUCGGGAUUGCGAGGGCGUCUGGUGGCGGCCAAGGUUCCGCCGGAGACGGACGGGGAUCACGUAUAGAAUCGAGGGCUUUUCCUGGCUGCUUUGGGGAUCGUGCGGCGUUGAAGGAGGAGAUGUUGGGAGAGCUGGUGGCAGAGGAGGAGAUCAAGGAAUUGGUAAAAAAACAAGUUUUAUUGAAGACCAGGAGACCGUUGAAUAUCGGUUCGCAUCGAGGCUUUUAAUGUUCUCUUUUGCGCCCCCCCCCCCCCCCCCCCCCUGAUAACAUUUUAUUUUUCUAUGGUUAGUGUACUAUUUCCGCUUUCUGCGUCUCUUAAGCAUUUGGAUUGGCUGGGUCGUUUAGCUGCAACAAAUGAAACCUCCCUUGUAUUGAAUUUUGUUACAUGCAAGAGAGAAUUUUGUUACUUAUUGCUUGUAUGACUCCAUGAGAGUUCAGUUCACUACUCGGUUCUAUCUUCAGUGGCGGCUCCGCUUGUUCUCUGCGGGCAUGAUGUAGCCGACAAACAUGAGAUAGGUUAAUUAAUUAGUUAAUAGCUCAUGCCUCUUUAAUUUUGUUUUGAUUCAAUUUUUAGCUUCUGAUGUUUCAUUUGCCAUCUUUCAAUUGGUCUCUUGCUUUUGGAUUUAAGGCAUUGAUGGUUUGUUUUAGGUAUUUUCUCGUCUGCAUGUAAUGCAAUCAUCUGUAGAAUAAAUCCUUUAGUUAUGUAAAGAUAGUGUCGUGGACUACCUAUAUUUCCAUGAUCUCAAUUUUGCCCGGAUGCGAGUGUCUUUCUAAGGUACAUAUAUCGUUAUGCAAGAGAAAAUAGAGGACCAGGGAGCAGAUAUGGACUUGAAAGAUUCCAAUAUGAUCCCUCCCCCCCUCCCCACUUUUCCAACCAAGGUACAUGGAGAAAUUUUUUAACCAAUGCCAGACCCCAUGCCUCCAUUUCUGCCAAUGGAUCAACCAAAAAGCCACAUUGGGGCUUUUUUUGUUUCUUAAGAAAAGAAACCUCUGUGAUUAUUUAUUUGUUAGAAGAAUCCUUUUGAUUGACUUGAGUGGAAUUUAAUAAGGAAAGGUAGAAGUUCCACAACCAAGGAGGAGGCCUGCCCAUUCAGGAAAUCACAUAAGAAUUCUUGCUUCUAAACUGAUUGACUGGUUAUGUGGUAUCUUCUGCCUCAUUGCUGACAAGCAAUUGAGCUUGAUUGGGGGAACGUAGAGGAAGGAGGCCUCUUCUCUUUAGUUGAUUCAGUUCCCAUCCACUGUUAUCCUCAUGCUGCACACUUGAGUUUCCUUUUUGAUGUCCGACUUUGUUGUUCAUUUACCUGUUAGCUAAUUUUGCUUUUCAAUACCUCGUCACGAUGAUCGUGAGCUUUUAGAUUCCCCAUAUGCGGCAGCUAUUCAGUCAGGACCAUGGUGUCACUUAUGUUUUAAUGGUUUUGAUGACUUUACAGGAUCUUGAGAAGCUUUGCUGCCCGGCAAGUUGCUUUUAAAUAUAUACCAACUAGUCCAAGAUUAUCGACAUAUCUAAUUUGUUAGCAUUCAGCAUCUUGAGAAGCUUUGCUGCAUGACAAGGUGUUUUUAAAUAUAUACCAACUAUUCUAGGAUUAUCGAUCUGUUAUACAUCUUGCUCCAAAUGAUGUUCUUACAGGUUAGUUAAUUUCAACAUUCAUAUGCUGCCCCAAAGCAAACCCAUGGGAAGUUAAAAAAGGAAUUGUAGGUUUUAUACAGUACAUGCUUUUAUCUGCUUUUGUGAAUUCUAGGUUUUGCAUGGUCUUUCUGCUUGUCAGGCUUCCAACAGUGUUAUCUAUUACUCAUCUGCAUCUGCAGAUGAUGACGACUUCUCAUCCAUGGCACAAAAGUACAUUUGCUAAAGGAACCCUUUUAUUUAUGUGCACUGACACUUACAGUUAGAACUUAAUGGAGUUCUUGUGCUCCAGAAAAAGUAGGAAAUCAAGAGGAUGUAUAGCUGAGAGAGCGAAUCCCUGAUUCUGGUUUUAUUAGAUGCAUUAAUUCUGAUUUCAGUGGUUCUACCUUAUAACCAUGUGCAGCUAUUCUGAUCGCUUCCUCCUGUUGGGACUGAUUUUAUAGAUUGCGGGUUAAUUUCUCAAAUUCAAUUCCAAAAAUAACUCUAAUCAUAUUACUUUAUUAAAGAUUUAAAAGUAUUUUGGUAAUAAUUCUAAUUAGAUUUUUCUUUUAAAAGUCUUAAAUUAUGUUAGACUUCUACAAAAUAAGAAAUUCUAAUGUUGCUGAGCUGAAAAUAUUUGUAUAAUAACCCUAAUUAGAUUUCUUUCUUAAGAGACAUAAGCCAUGCUAGAUUUCUACAGAAUAAAGGAUUCUAGCAUUGCCGGACUUUGUGAAUAGGAAAAGGAGAUCCACUCAUGCUAACUUCUAGAUAAUCACAGGAGAAAAUCCGAUUUAACAAAGAAUAAAUUAGAAACUCUAAAAAGAUACCUUAAAAUAUCUGGACUGAAGAACUUUUAAGGUAGAAGAUUUUCGGUUGCAAAGAUUUUUUUUUUUUUUAAUUUACAUUAGAAUUUUGAGGUGUAAUAUCCUUAUUGUUUUCUUUGAAAACUUAGAUUGAGGUGCACUAUUUAUGAUUAAAAAUGGUUGGGAAGCCACUGGGUCGGAAUACAAGCAGAAAUAUGGGAAGAGCAUCCUCUGAAGGUGGCAAUCAAUAUAUUUGCAAAAGUCUGAUUAAUAAUAGAAGGUAAUGGAUGCCCAUAUCAUCAUAUCAUUGCAUCAUGUUGAAGUUCAUGAUGACCAUCAGCUAUCUACAGCAUCUAUUGAUGCUUGGUAAUGCAGGAACAGGUUUCCCUGUGUCAUUUUUUAACUCCCCACAGUUUCUGGUGAUGGCAAGCUUUUUCUUUCGAAAUGUUUAAUGUCAGAAUCAUGGUCGAGUGUAAGAAGCUGAUGCUGUCAGAAUGUUUGAUGUCAGGAUCAUGAUAGAGUGCCUCAAGUUAUUCAUAAAUGAAUCGUUCUCCUUCAAUUAAGCCGCUUAGAGAUGUCACCUCUAAAGCUUCUCAUUCCGUUUUGGACUUCACUGCAAAAUGAGGUUUGUCCCCUCAGAAGGUUGAAUUUAGAUUGUCAUUGGCAAUAGUCGUUGGCAAUAACGCUUUCCAUGGAGUGGAUUUUAGUAUGUCCCAUCAUACAAUUCUAUGCAUGAGUUUGGAAAAAUAUUUAGCAUUGAGUAGUUUUAUUUCAUAUCAUAUUGCUUGAUCCCUUCAGAAUUUAUGGCUCCAGUUUCUCUUGUCAUUUACAAAUUAAACAUAUACAUUUCUUGUUUGUUCUUUCAAAUCAAACAGUAUCGAACUGCUUCAUUCUAUCUAUAGAUCAUUUACUAUUCAAUCAAAUUGAAUUAUGAGCUUUAUAUGUGGCACUCUCUUGUAAUAAUUUGUAAAUCCCUACUUUUCUUCAUUUCUUCCUUGCAACUCAUGGUGCUGAUUACUUUUUCUUAUGCACAAUCAUUCAAUAUUUUAUCUAAUUGAAUGAAUUGUUUUAUCAGGGCACAAUGUUGUAGUAUGUGGCGAUGAUGAAAUUAGAGAUCCUGCCAGUUCUAGGUGUUCUGAUAUAACUUUCAUUUUUUGUACAAAAUUUAAAAGAAUUUAGCAUAAUGUCAUGCACACACAUAACACUAUGGAGAAGUAUACUAGUAAUGCUAUAUUACCCUUAAUUUGCUGCUCAGAUAUCGGAUUUAUUUGCAAUCUAUCAAAGCUUCUAAUCGUGUGAGUAUUGACUAGUGGGCUGGUAACUGUGACACAUGCUGCUCUUUGGAAGCAUCAGAAAUAAUUUAUGGUUAUUACUUGGAUUCAGUCUUGGUGUAUUUGUAUGCCUAUAAGUUUUCAUCAUGCACAACCAUAAUAUCAUUAUCUAUGUUCAGAACGAGUUGUUAAAGCAAGUGAAAGCUGCGAAUCGGAUAGAAAAGCUUGCAAUGACACCAAAUGCUGCCCUUAAUAGAAAUGAUUGGCAAACAAGGAUCCACAAAGCCGAACCCAGUUGGUGAGGACAAGCCUUUCUAAUGGUUCUUUUGAGCUGGAAAGAUAUGCAAACAGUUUCUGCGUCAACUACUGUUGCAGCAAUUAUGCGUUGCAUUAUGGUCAUUCUUUGAAGGAUCAGUUGAGUUGCUUUCAAUUCUUUGCAUUAUGAGCUGCCUUUUUUUUUUAAAAAAAAAAAAAUGAGAAGGAUACAUACGCUUCUUAUUAAUUGUUUAUAACAAUUUUUUAUAAGAAUAACAAAUAUAUGAAAUGCAAAAGGAAGAAAAAGAAGUUAA